AUUGAACGCUGGCGGCAGGCCUAACACAUGCAAGUCGAACGAGUGGCGGACGGGUGAGUAAUGUCUGGGAAACUGCCUGAUGGAGGGGGAUAACUACUGGAAACGGUAGCUAAUACCGCAUACCAUCAGAUGUGCCCAGAUGGGAUUAGCUAGUUGGUGGGGUAACGGCUCACCAAGGCGACGAUCCCUAGCUGGUCUGAGAGGAUGACAAGGCACACUGGAACUGAGACACGGGCCAGAAUCCUACGGGAGGCAGGAGGGGGGAAUAUUGCAAAAUGGGCGCAAGGCUGAUGCAGCCAUGGCGCGUGUAUGAAGAAGGCCUUCGGGGUGGAAAGUACUUUCAGCGGGGAGGCGUUACCCGCAGAAGAAGCACCGGCUAACUCCGUGCCAGCCGCCGCGGUAAUUC
rnacentral:rRNA from 1 species